GAUGAAGAACGCAGCGAAAUGCGAUAAGUAAUGUGAAUUGCAGAAUUCCGUGGAUCAUCGAAUCUUUGAACGCACAUUGCGCCCUCUGGUAUUCCGGGGGGCAUGCCUGUCCGAGCGUCAUUUGCAACCCUCAAGCCCGGCUUGUGUGAUGGGUGCCGUCCCCUACGGGACGCGCCCCGAAGGCAAUGGCGGCGUCGCGGUUAUCCGAUCAGCCAAAGUGUAUGGGGCUUUGUCACUCACUUUACGGCCCGGACCGGCGCCAGUCCGAAUCAAUCUUUUUUCUAAAGUUGACCUCGGAUCAGGUAGGGAUACCCGCUGAACUUAAGCAUAUCAAUAAGCGGAGGA
rnacentral:misc_RNA from 1 species